rnacentral:rRNA from 1 species
GAUGAACGCUGGCGGCGUGCCUAAUACAUGCAAGUCGAGCGAACGGACGAGAAGCUUGCUUCUCUGAUGUUAGCGGCGGACGGGUGAGUAACACGUGGAUAACCUACCUAUAAGACUGGGAUAACUUCGGGAAACCGGAGCUAAUACCGGAUAAUAUUUUGAACCGCAUGGUUCAAAAGUGAAAGACGGUCUUGCUGUCACUUAUAGAUGGAUCCGCGCUGCAUUAGCUAGUUGGUAAGGUAACGGCUUACCAAGGCAACGAUGCAUAGCCGACCUGAGAGGGUGAUCGGCCACCCUGGAACUGAGACACGGUCCAGACUCCUACGGGAGGCAGCAGUAGGGAAUCUUCCGCAAUGGGCGAAAGCCUGACGGAGCAACGCCGCGUGAGUGAUGAAGGCCUUCGGAUCGUAAAACUCUGUUAUUAGGGAAGAACAUAUGUGUAAGUAACUGUGCACAUCUUGACGGUACCUAAUCAGAAAGCCACGGCUAACUACGUG